GACGAACGCUGGCGGCGUGCCUAAUACAUGCAAGUAGGACGCAGUUGCGAACGGGUGAGUAACGCGUAGGUAACUGCCUAUUAGAGGGGGAUAACUAUUGGAAACGAUAGCUAAUACCGCAUACUAGUAGAUGGACCUGCGUUGUAUUAGCUAGUAGGUAGGGUAAUGGCCUACCUAGGCGACGAUACAUAGCCGACCCGGGAGGGUGAUCGGGCACAAUGGGAAUGGGACACGGGCCAGACUCCUACGGGAGGCAGCAGUGGGGAAUCUUCGGGAAAGGGGGGAAACCUGACCGAGCAAAGCCGCGGGAGUGAAGAAGGGUUUCGGGUCGUAAAGCUCGGUUGUUAAGGAAGCGGUACUUAACCAGAAAGGGACGGCUAACUACGUGCCAGCAGCCGCGGUAAUAC
rnacentral:rRNA from 1 species